rnacentral:rRNA from 1 species
UACGUAGGCAGCAAGCGUUGUUCGGAGUUACUGGGCGUAAAGGGUGUGUAGGCGGUUGUUUAAGUUUGGUGUGAAAUCUCCCGCUCAACCGGGAGGGUGCGCCGAAUACUGAAUGACUAGAGUGCGGGAGAGGAAAGUGGAAUUCCUGGUGUAGCGGUGAAAUGCGUAGAUAUCAGGAGGAACACCGGUGGUGUAGACGGCUUUCUGGACCGUAACUGACGCUGAGACACGAAAGCGUGGGUAGCAAACAGG